AUUGAACGCUGGCGGCAUGCUUUACACAUGCAAGUCGAACGGUAACAGGGUGCUUGCACCGCUGACGAGUGGCGAACGGGUGAGUAAUGCGUCGGAACGUGCCGAGUAGUGGGGGAUAACGCAGCGAAAGUUGUGCUAAUACCGCAUACGUACUGAGGUAGAAAGUGGGGGACCUUCGGGCCUCACGCUAUUCGAGCGGCCGACGUCUGAUUAGCUAGUAGGUGAGGUAAAGGCUCACCUAGGCGACGAUCAGUAGCGGGUCUGAGAGGAUGAUCCUCCAGCAUGGCACUGAGACACGGCCCAGACUCCUACGGGAGGCAGCAGUGGGGAAUUUUGGACAAUGGGCGAAAGCCUGAUCCAGCCAUGCCGCGUGUCUGAAGAAGGCCUUCGGGUUGUAAAGGACUUUUGUCAGGGAGGAAAUCCCUAGUGCUAAUAACACUGGGGGAUGACAGUACCUGAAGAAUAAGCACCGGCUAACUACGUGCCAGCCGCCGCCGUAA
rnacentral:rRNA from 1 species